rnacentral:tRNA from 1 species
GGGCGAUUAGCUCAGCGGGAGAGCACCUCCCUUACAAGGAGGGGGUCGCUGGUUCGAGUCCAGCAUCGCCCA